CAGGGGUGGGGACGGUGGCCCCGAGGGGACUUGCGCGGCUGCAGAGUCGGCCGGCACUGUGCCCGCGCAAGCAUUCCUAUUUUGGCUCCGUGAGUGGUAACCAUUGUUGUUCCCAAAUACAAGCUAGCGUGAGGUGGGUUCUAAGGUUGCCUCCGCGCAGCGAUGUGGAAGCCCAGGGCGGAGAAUGAUGAAGUCGGACAAAGGGGUUGAGAACAGCCCUCAGCCGACUACAUAAAAUUGCAGAGGCGCCCCGGUCGAGGACGCGGCGCGUGCAAACACGCGGAGGCGGGCGGCGAGCAGAGCCUGGGGACCUGGGGAUCACAGGGAGGCCAUGGGGGGAGCAGAUGGCUGCGGCGGAGUCCGGGGCUGAGCGGGUAGUCCAGAGGACCCCGCUGCAUUUGGUAUCUCUGUACUUUCCACCAUUAUAUUUAAGUUUUAGGUUGGGUCUUUGAGAGGUGUUCUGCCUCCAUUCCACUUGGCGGCCCUGCAGCCGGCCUCGGGACCACGGGCAGUGGCCAUGUCCAGGGCUCAGCUUGAUGUCUUCCAUGUCAAGGUUCACUCUCCUGCCUGGCCUGAUGCUGAGUCUUGAGCGCCAUUGUUUCAUCUAUUUUGUCUGGACUUUUGGUGGUUUCAGGAAGGAGAGCAAAUCUAGUCCCUGUUCCUCCCAUCUUGGUUGAAAGUGAAAAGUCCUCAUAUGUAUGAUUUUUAAAUAAAAGUCGGUUUCCCUUUUGUACAGGUCAUGCCAAAUGUUCUUUCUUGGUUAAAGCUUCCUGGUUAAAGAGCAGUGCCCGGCCUGUUGGCGGGAAGUCAGGUGGCCUGAGUCUUAGGGUGCUCUUGGAAUAUCCCGACGCAUCUGCUUCAGCUUGUGGACAAAGACUCAGGGUCACUAGAGGGCAGCGUGUGAGAUCAGAGUGGCCAGAAUGGCGGUGGGCCAGCCCAGGGUCUAGAAGCUCAGCCAGCAGCAGUCCAAAGGAGAAAGUCCGCGCAUGGCCCCCAGAGCCCCUCGCUGGCACCUGCGGGCGAUUUCUCCCUCCCACCCUCAGGCCACUCCACACGGAAAGCUUCGUUGAACACUCCUUGCAGUAUGCAAGACAGAGACGAUUAGGAAGCACGAGACCAGCUGCCCCGUGGCACAUGCCCCUCGAGGGCCUGGCGUCUGGCACUCUGGGCUACCCAGUUCUGACCCGAAACCCUGGUGUAUGGGUUUGAGCUUCGGCUCGCUUCUGUUCCGGGAGGCAGCGUGGUUUGUGUCCCACACAGUAUGCUACGCUGAUGGCACUUGGAAGUCACCCCAUCAGUGUUUCCCGAGGGGAGACGCCACACCAGGCGGGGGAGUAACCUGUUUCCACAGCCCAGCGAGUUCAGGGAGACUUGUGGUCUAGGAGAAUCUCAGAGGAGGGCCUGGGGAGCGCUUUUAUGUUGCCACCCCCCCCCCCCGCCCCUGCCAUUGGGGCUGGGCUGAGCUUCUACUGCCCAUAGCCAUCUGGUGGUGAGCGGCAGUCAGGGCCCUUAGUCGUGGCCCUGCAUUUGUCCACUGUGUUGCCACUGUCUGUCACCCCCAGAUCACCUCUCCUUUCCUAGGCUGUCCCUGGAAAUCCUAAACCCGAGAGCCAUUGUGGUCCAGAGAGCCCUGCCACGCGGUGAUUUAUGGGACCCGGUCUCUCUCUCUGGCCUUCGGCUCUGAGUUCACAGCCCUUGAUACACGUCCUGAGGUUCCAUUUCCAUGAAAUGAAUCCCCAGAGUAGAAUGGCCUGGCUGGGGGGUGACACGUGAGCAGACUUGUCCCAGCGUCCGGAGCCACAGCCCAGGCUGGCCCGGGCAGUUCCAGCACCGCUCUGGUGUCAUGGCGCAGGGGUGGAAGGAAGGCGUCCCUCCUCGGUUCACACUGCACUUCCUCCUCUCAGGGUUCGGACACCAGCCCUUGGGGGCUGGCUUCAUCGAACGGGCAUCACAGUUGCUUGUUUCCAAGUUAAGUUGUCCUAUUCUUAGUUUACGUAAGCUGCAUAGUUUAUGUAGUAAUAAAAUCCCAUUUCUCUGCUGUA